rnacentral:rRNA from 1 species
GAUGAACGCUAGCUACAGGCUUAACACAUGCAAGUCGCGGGGCAGCAUGGGGGUUGCUUGCAAUCCCCGAUGGCGACCGGCGCACGGGUGAGUAACGCGUAUCCAACCUGCCCUUCACCACGGGAUAACCCGGCGAAAUUCGGACUAAUACCGUAUGUUGUCCAUUGACGGCAUCCGAUUUGGACGAACGGUUUGGCGUUGAAGGAUGGGGAUGCGUCCGAUUAGCUGGACGGCGGGGUGACGGCCCACCGUGGCGACGAUCGGUAGGGGUUCUGAGAGGAAGGUCCCCCACACUGGAACUGAGACACGGUCCAGACUCCUACGGGAGGCAGCAGUGAGGAAUAUUGGUCAAUGGGCGUAAGCCUGAACCAGCCAAGUAGCGUGCAGGAUGACGGCCCUAUGGGUUGUAAACUGCUUUUAUGCGGGGAUAAAGUGGCCCACGUGUGGGUUUUUGCAGGUACCGCAUGAAUAAGGACCGGCUAAUUCCGUG